GUCUACAGCCAUGCCACCCUGAACAAGCCCGAUCCUGUCUGAUCUCAGAAGCUAAGCAGGGUCGGGCCUGGUUAGUACUUGGAUGGGAGACCACCUAGGAAAACCCGGUACUGUAGGCA
rnacentral:rRNA from 1 species